GGGUCGGUGCUGGGAGGGCUGAGCUGCACUGCAGGCACUCGCAGCUCUGCUGGCGCAGCAGUUGUGUUCAGCUGGGGGAGGCGAAGGAUGGAUGGAAGUCGGGGCGUAGACGUGGAUUUUGGUGGCGGUGUUUGAUGGGAAUUUAUUGUCAUCUUUCUUAAAUGACUGCUGGACUCACACAGCGCUGCCCGCGCCCCCCCGGAGCGCCCCUACCCCAAACCCAACUCCCUGCUGCUGAGCUGAGCGCCCGGAGGGGAAACGCCUCCCGCAGCACUGAGCGCUGCUGUACAGACACCAACCCAACACCGCUGCGGGACACAGUCUUCGAUGAAGCUUCUGCUCACGUCGUCCAAAGCCUGAAAAGCGAUGUGGCUUCUCAGUAAAG
rnacentral:lncRNA from 1 species